AUGCAGCCAAUUAAACUGACCAUGCUCUUGUCCUCGUGAGUAUCCAGUGUGCAAUGGCUGCAAACAGUAGCCUACUCGGUAGUGUACGCAGCCUGUUGCUUAUAUGGGUUGCCGUAAGGGACCUUGGAGACCGCC